rnacentral:rRNA from 1 species
UACAGAGGUCUCAACCGUUGUUCGGAUUCAUUGGGCGUAAAGGGUGCGUAGGCGGUCGCGCAAGUCGGAUGUGAAAUCUUAGGGCUCAACCCUGAAACUGCAUUCGAUACUGCGUGGCUAGAGUACCGGAGAGGAGACUGGAAUUUACGGUGUAGCAGUGAAAUGCGUAGAUAUCGUAAGGAAGACCAGUGGCGAAGGCGAGUCUCUGGACAGUUACUGACGCUGAGGCACGAAGGCCAGGGGAGCAAACGGG